GGGAUUUUCUCUCAUCAGUAUUUUUUUUUUUUCAUUUUCAGUUUUAAAUUGUCACUUUGUUGGGAACAAUUUUCAUAGAGUGAUCAGAAGUGAAGAUAAACAUAACCACGAUAUCACCACUUAAUCAGAUCAGUCCUUGCGGGAGGGCGGGGGAGGGGGCUCCGUGUUAGGCUUCUGCCCAUUUGAUCUCAGACCCAGGCAGCCCUCUCCGCCCUCCCCCGAAUCACGAGGAACUACAUCUCCCAGGCUCCCUUGCAGUCCGCUUCCUGGUAGGUUGGGCCAGUUGCAGACCCUGACAGAAGGUCAGAAAGUGGAGGAAGGAAGAGGCCGCAGCAUCUGUCUCCCUCCGCUUUGGGAAGCAUCUCCGCUGUAUCUUCGAGUGUCCAGCCCCUCGGAAGUUCCCGUUUCCGCUGGGUGGUCCUGGAUCCUGGACUCUGGUGCAGCCUAAUUCCCCUCUCCUGGACCAGGAGGCAGAACUGGCUUUGUGACUCACCUCUGUCUAGGAGAAUGUGGCAAAUGUGACAAUGUGUGACUUCUGAUGCUAAGUCAUAAAAGUAAUCUCUACACCCAACAUGGUGGGGCUCCAACUUACAACCCCAAGAUCAAGACUCACGUGCUCUACGGACUGAGCCAGCCAGGUGCUCCUAGAAAUGUAAUUCUUAGCCCUGUCGCUCAUUAAGAGGCACGCUGUCCCCAAACCACCGCAAGAUGGCCACCAGCAGCCUCAGGCUUCCAGCCGAGUUUUGCAUCAACCACAUGGGAAGAACAAUGAACCAAAUGAAAAAUUACCUUUUCUCAGAGGUCCAGGAGGAACACCUGGGUGGCUCGGUCGGUUAAGCGUCCGACUUCGGCUCGGGUCAUGAUCUCACGGUUCGUGGGUUCGAGCCCCGCGUCGGGCUCUGGGCUGA